rnacentral:lncRNA from 1 species
UGGUGUCUUAGUCUAUUUGAAGAUCUCUCCCAUAAAAGGUGUGAAGAGGUUUGGCAAGAAGGGAAAGCUCAGUCCUCGAUAUGUUGGCCCUUACAGGAUCUUAAGUCAUUUUGGAAAGGUAGUAUGAGCUUGAUUUUUUUGCAAAUUUGGUAUUCGUAUAUCCCGUGUUCCAUGUUUCCUUGUUAAAGAAGUGUAUUGGUGAUCCAGCUGUAGUAG